AAACACUAUUAUUGCACACAGAGUGAGUCCAUGCAACUUAUUAUGUGACUUGUUAAGCACAUUUUCACUCUUGAACAUACUUAGGCUCGCCACAACAAAGGGGUUCAAUACUUAUUGACUCAAGACAUUUUAUUUUUUCAUUUUUCAUUCAUUAGUAAAAAAUAUAUAUAUAUUAAUGAAAACCACUAUUCCACGUUGACAUUAUGGGGUGUUGUGUAAAUUCAGGCUGUAAUACAACAUUGGGAAAACGUGAAGGGAUGUGAAUACUUUCUUAAGGCACUGUACUUCUUCUGUACUUCUCUGAGAUUAUUUCUAUUUCUUUUUUUGGUACGUUAUUUAUUUCUGUCAUACAAUCCCGCUUCAAGGUCUUCAUCAGCAAAUAUACUGUAUGCGAACGUUUAUGUUAGUAUGAUGAAUAAAUCAUUGCAUAUUUGCAGCUGCCUUGAGCCUAGAGUCACUGAGGAAUGGCUCUACUGAUUCACCUAUUGGCAAAAAAAACAGCUUUACAACACCAGCUUUACAACACCAGCUUUACAAUACCAGCUUUACAAUACCAGCUUUACAACACCAGCUUUACAACAUCAACUUUACAACACCAGCUUUACAACGCCAGCUUUACAACACCAGCUUUACAAUACCAGCUUUACAACAUCCACUUACAACAUCCACUUUACAACACCAGCUUUACAACAUCCACUUUACAACAUCCACUUUACAACACUGACUUUACAAUACCAGCUUUACAAUACCAGCUUUACAAUACCAGCUUUACAAUACCAGCUUUACAACAUCCACUUUACAACACCAGCUUUACAAUACAAGCUUUACAACAUCCACUUUACAACAUCCACUUUACAACACCGACUUUACAAUAUCAGCUUUACAAUACCAGCUUUACAAUACCAGCUUUACAAUACCAGCUUUACAACAUCCACUUUACAACACCAGCUUUACAAUGCCAGCUUUACAACAUCCACUUUACAACACCAACUUUACAAUACCGGCUUUACAACACCAGCUUUACAAUACCAGCUUUACAAUACCAGCUUUACAACAUCCACUUUACAACACCAGCUUUACAAUACCAGCUUUACAACACCUGCUUUACAAUACCAGCUUUACAACACCAGCUUUACAAUACCAGCUUUACAACACCAGCUUUACAACACCAGCUUUACAAUACCAGCUUUACAAUACCAGCUUUACAACAUCAGCUUUACAAUACCAGCUUUAUAACACCAGCUUUACAACAUCAGCUUUACAAUACCAGCUUUACAAUACCAGCUUUACAAUACAACACCAGCUUUACAAUAUCAGCUUUACAAUACAACACCAGCUUUACAACAUCAGCUUUACAAUACCAGCUUUACAAUACCAGCUUUACAAUACCAGCUUUACAAUACCAGCUUUACAACACCAGCUUUACAAUACCAGCUUUACAACACCAGCUUUACAAUAACAGCUUUACGAUACCAGCUUUACAACACCAGCUUUACAAUACCAGCUUUACAACACCAGCUUUACAACACCAGCUUUACAACAUCCACUUUACAACAUCAGCUUUACAACAUCAGCUUUACAAUACCAGCUUUACAACAUCCACUUUACAACACCAGCUUUACAACAUCAGCUUUACAAUACCAGCUUUACAAUACCAGCUUUACAAUACCAGCUUUACAAUACCAGCUUUACAACACCAGCUUUACAACACCAGCUUUACAAUACCAGCUUUACAACAUCCGCUUCACACUACCAACUUUACAACAUCCGCUUCACACUACCAGCUUUACAAUACAAGCUUUACAACACCAACUUUACAAUACCAGCUUUACAAUACCAGCUUUACAAUAUCAGCUUUACAAUACCAGCUUUACAAUACCAGCUUUACAAUAUCAGCUUUACAAUACCAGCUUUACAAUACCAGCUUUACAAUACCAGCUUUACAAUACCAACUUUACAAUACCAGCUUUACAAUACCAGCUUUACAAUACCAGCUUUACAAUACCAGCUUUACAAUACCAGCUUUACAACACCAGCUUUACAAUACCAGCUUUACAAUACCAGCUUUACAACAGCAGCUUUACAAUAUCAGCUUUACAAUACCAGCUUUACAACACCAGCUUUACAAUACCAGCUUUACAAUACCAGCUUUACAAUACCAGCUUUACAAUACCAGCUUUACAACACCAGCUUUACAAUACCAGCUUUACAACACCAGCUUUACAACACCAGCUUUACAACACAACACCAGCUUUACAAUACCAGCUUUACAACACCAGCUUUACAACAUUCUCCCCCUUCUUUUCCCUCCCGGAACUUCUCAGUGAUUGAUCCACUCUCACGUUUAGACAUGUGCACCUGAAGCCAAAGAAGAGGCUAGCUAUUAACAUACUGAGUCACUGUGUCAAAAAGACUGCAUGUCUGUGCCUGCUCACUCUCUACUUCUCACUGUGUUACUCUCUCUCUCCCUCUCUCUCUCUUUCUGUUUCUCACUGUGGUUGGUUCAUGUCAAUGGCAGACAUUUCAUUUGGUUUAGGAUUACUCUGACAUAUUGACAGACCAGGAUUCAGUUUCAGGGGAUGUGAGAUCUUUCAUUAACUGCUGUUCUUUUGACAAGAAGAGUUGACAA